rnacentral:rRNA from 1 species
GAUUGCCUCAGUAACGGCGAGUGAAGCGGCAACAGCUCAAAUUUGAAAUCUGGCCCUAGGCCCGAGUUGUAAUUUGCAGAGGAUGCUUUUGGCAAGGUGCCUUCCGAGUUCCCUGGAACGGGACGCCAUAGAGGGUGAGAGCCCCGUCUGGUCGGACACCGAGCCUCUGUAAAGCUCCUUCGACGAGUCGAGUAGUUUGGGAAUGCUGCUCAAAAUGGGAGGUAUAUGUCUUCUAAAGCUAAAUACCGGCCAGAGACCGAUAGCGCACAAGUAGAGUGAUCGAAAGAUGAAAAGCACUUUGAAAAGAGAGUUAAAUAGCACGUGAAAUUGUUGAAAGGGAAGCGUUUAUGACCAGACUUGGCCCGGUUGAUCAUCCAGCGUUCUCGCUGGUGCACUCUGCCGGUCCAGGCCAGCAUCAGUUCGUCGCGGGGGAUAAAGGUUUCGGGAAUGUGGCUCCUCCGGGAGUGUUAUAGCCCGUUGCGUAAUACCCUGCGGUGGACUGAGGUCCGCGCUUCUGCAAGGAUGCUGGCGUAAUGGUCAUCAACGACCCGUCUUGAAACACGGACCAAGGAGUCGUCUUCGUAUGCGAGUGUUCGGGUGUAAAACCCCUACGCGUAAUGAAAGUGAACGCAGGUGAGAGCUUCGGCGCAUCAUCGACCGAUCCUGAUGUUCUCGGAUGGAUUUGAGUAAGAGCAUACGGGGCCGGACCCGAAAGAAGGUGAACUAUGCCUGUAUAGGGUGAAGCCAGAGGAAACUCUGGUGGAAGGCUCGCAGCGGUUCUGACGUGCAAAUCGAUCGUCAAAUAAUGGCAUGGGGCGAAAGACUAAUCGAACCUUCUAGUAGCU